UACACACAUUCUAUGUCAGUUCCUCCUUCAUCGAAAGAACCUAAUCACACUAUUUACCACACUCUUUCUCUGCGGCUGACCUCUUCCUUUCACUUUCACAACUAAACAAUCUGUAUCCCCUACCCUGUGUUUUCACAUUCCCGCCAUCCGCCUCACCUUUCCUCCCUUUGCUCUUACACACGUUCUAUCCACCAUUCUCCACCUCUCUACUCCUUCAGAAUCGACAAUCGACAAUCAAAUUAACCAAAUGGAAAUUCACACCAUAUCGUCAUACAAAGUCUGAAAUUCAGAAUUUAUUGACCUCUAGUCUCCAUAUUCUUCUAGCUCGAUGAGAUCUUCUUCACUCGCACGCUUCUUCCAUUUCCGCUCUUGAUCUCUCCUUCAAUUUCUUCACUCUCCCUCCUUCCCUGUCGACCUCUAUCUCUCCUUUCCCCCCUUUUCUGUUUUUCUCAGCCCAUCCCUAUUUAUAUAUCUCCAUUCCCAUCCAAUCUCAGCCCUUCAUCCUCCUACCAUUCCAAUCCUCACCGUCCACUUAGUACCUUCCAACACCGGUGAGAAGAGUGGGGUUGAACUAUGGGCUUGGGAACUUUGGAUUGGGCCGAAGAAGACAUUGGGCUAGCUGGGUGUUACAUGGUGUCUUUUUGGUUUUAUGUUAUUAUUAUUUUUUAUUUUUUAUGAAAAGUAAUUAAAAUUUAUAAAUCAAUUCCAAAUCAGAAAUCAAGUAACAUUUAAAAUUUUAAUUAUGUAAAUUAAUUUUUAUAUUUAAACUAAAAUGUAUUAUAUUAUUUAUUUUUUAUUAUAUACAAUGAUUAAAUUAUUUAUUAAAAUAACAUUU
rnacentral:lncRNA from 1 species